rnacentral:rRNA from 1 species
AGAGUUUGAUCAUGGCUCAGGAUGAACGCUAGCGGCAGGCUUAACACAUGCAAGUCGAGGGGCAUCGCGGUUCCGGCAACGGGACCGGCGGCGACCGGCAUACGGGUGCGUAACGCGUGAGCGACAUUCCCGGGACCGGGGUAUAACCGACGGAAACGUCGCCUAAUCCCCCGUAACACCAUCGGGCGCAUGCCCUUUGGUUGAAAGCUCCGGCGGUCCCGGAUUGGCUCGCGUCCCAUUAGGCGGAUGGCGGGGUAACGGCCCACCAUACCUACGAUGGGUAGGGGUUCUGAGAGGAAGGUCCCCCACAAUGGAACUGAGACACGGUCCAUACUCCUACGGGAGGCAGCAGUGAGGAAUAUUGGUCAAUGGGCGGAAGCCUGAACCAGCCAUGCCGCGUGCGGGACGACGGCCCUACGGGUUGUAAACCGCUUUUGCAGGGGAGCAAUAAGGGGGUUUCGUACCCCCGACGAGCGUACCCUGCGAAUCAGCACCGGCUAACUCCGUGCCAGCAGCCGCGGUAAUACGGAGGGUGCGAGCGUUAUCCGGAUUUAUUGGGUUUAAAGGGUGCGUAGGCUGUGCGUCAAGUCAGGGGUGAAAUUCCGUCGCUCAACGUCGGUUGUGCCCUUGAUACUGGCGUGCUGGAGUACGGAUGCCGCCGGAGGAAUGAGUGGUGUAGCGGUGAAAUGCAUAGAUAUCACUCAGAACACCGAUUGCGAAGGCAUCUGGCGAAUCCGUCACUGACGCUGAUGCACGAAAGCGUGGGGAUAAAACAGGAUUAGAUACCCUGGUAUUCCACGCCGUAAACGAUGAUGACUAGCCGCCG